GACAGAGGUGGCGAGCGUUGUUCGGAUUUAUUGGGCGUAAAGAGCGCGCAGGCGGGUUUUUAAGUCAGAUGUGAAAUCCUGGGGCUCAACCUCAGAACUGCAUUUGAAACUGAAAAUCUUGAGGGUAGUCGGAGAAAAUGGAAUUCCACGUGUAGCGGUGAAAUGCGUAGAUAUGUGGAAGAACACCGGUGGCGAAGGCGAUUUUCUAGAUUAUUCCUGACGCUGAGGCGCGAAAGUAAGGGGAUCAAACAGG
rnacentral:rRNA from 1 species